rnacentral:rRNA from 1 species
UACGUAGGGUGCAAGCGUUGUCCGGAAUUAUUGGGCGUAAAGAGCUCGUAGGCGGUCUGUCGCGUCUGCUGUGAAAACCUAGGACUUAACUCUGGGCGUGCAGUGGGUACGGGCAGGCUAGAGUGCGGUAGGGGGAGACUGGAAUUCCUGGUGUAGCGGUGAAAUGCGCAGAUAUCAGGAGGAACACCGGUGGCGAAGGCGGGUCUCUGGGCCGUAACUGACGCUGAGGAGCGAAAGCAUGGGGGAGCGAACAGG